GAUGAACGCUAGCGGCAGGCUUAACACAUGCAAGUCGAGGGGUAACAGGGAAAGCUUGCUUUCCGCUGACGACCGGCGAACGGGUGCGUAACACGUAUGCAACUUACCCUUUACAGGAAAAUAGCCCAGAGAAAUCUGGAUUAAUAUUCCAUAUUAUCGGAUCAUGGCAUCAUGGACCGAUGAAAGCUCCGGCGGUAAAGGAUGGGCAUGCGGCCUAUUAGCUUGUUGGUGAGGUAACGGCUCACCAAGGCUGCGAUAGGUAGGGGGUCUGAGAGGAUUAUCCCCCACACUGGUACUGAGACACGGACCAG
rnacentral:rRNA from 1 species